GGUGGUCCAGGUGUCUGCUUCCAGAUGUUUAGGUGGUGGAAGGCACAGAAGGAAAGACUGCUUAGAGGGACUCUUACUCCUGUUCCUACCUGCACCUUCUGGAGAGCUUUUCCUUCUGUACAUUCACCUCAGCUCAACAUCGGAAUCCCUGCUCUUUCACUGCACACACACUGACCACCCUCUGCAGGCUGGUGGUCCUAGGGGGUUUCACGCACUGUGCUGUCUCCAGCAGAGGAGGUCCUGCUACAACGCCGGCACUGUUAGCCCUUUCUGGGCUGUGCUCUGUGAGUCCUUGAGAGGACAAUAAAUCGCUGUCAAAGUUGUGGAAUGAUCCCAUUCAAUUCUCAUCAAGGAACAGAGAAGACAUAAAAUUCAGCAAAUGGAGGAGGGAAAUUUGCUUAUUAAAGGUAUUUGUGAUGAGUGGAGUAGACAAAAAAACAAAACAAAACAAACAAAAAACACAAACAGCUGAGCUUUAACUGGAAAUUACCAAGCAAAAAAGGACAGGACAGCACCAUGUGAGCAGGAGGCCGGUGGCACAGCGGGCUUUGCCCCGACGCGCACACGGGUAACAGGACCUCAGGAGGGAAGAGGUCGCCGGGACAAGUCCCAUCAGGCUGCGGGGAGUCCUUCCCGGACAGAUGCUGCUGGCUCCUGGAACUGACUUGCCUCCUCACGCACAGCCCACUCAACAUGAAGAUGACAAGGAUGAAGACCUUUAUGAUGAUCCACUCCCACUUACUGAAUAGUUAAAGCUUCUUGGUGACGUGACAGUCUGUGGAAACUCCCACAGGACAAAUGCAGAAAAGAGGAGAGGAGCUUCAUAGAGGUGACGUCAGUGGAAGAUCCUCCAACCCUCCUUUGAACACACCUGCAACAAGGAAACCUGUCUGAUUUCCCCACCUUUCCUCCUUCCUGUCUUGUGGCAGAGCAGUCUCCCUGCAGCUGACUUAGAGCAAACCAAACACAACUGGACCUGUUUUCACCGAGCAACUUGCAGUGUUUUGCCCAGAUUCCAGCAAUGAAGUCAGUAUCAUUGGAUGGGUUCAUGAUGCAUGCAUUUGUUCAUACCAGGGAAUUCCCUGGAAGGUUACUUGUAAAAUAACUAUCUAAUGGCGGAAUUAA